AGUUGUGGCCAUUUAGCUUUGGUGGAGACGGAGCAGCUUCUGAGGAUUGUAAAAGAUCCAUCUCAGUCUUUUACUUGAGCCGUGAAUCUUAUUCACUUCAGAGACGUCUUAUCUCAGCUCCCAUUAAUCACGAAGCCUUUUGGCGCGGCUCCCAGAUCCAAUUAGGCCUGCCGGACAUCAAAGGCCCUUGCCGCGGCAAACAGAAAAGCCUCACUUUCGCUUUUCCUCCACAUACCUUUCAGCAGUCUGUCGCAGUCUUACUCUCCUGUAAGUGCUGUGAAUCUGGGCCCGAAACCUGUUGUUGGGAUACUGCCAGGGAGAUAAAGUCCAUCAAGGCCCCCAAGCCGUCUGCCGGACGAUCCAUCUCAGUCUCCCGUAGGCACGCAGCGACAUGAGUUUCUAGAAAAUAUCUUGCCACAUUCUAGAGCUCAUGCACGCUCUAUCAGCAGAUAAAUGCACAGCCAAAAGUUGCAGUCAGGAGAGCAUUAUUUACAAGUUUAUUCAGCGUUGAUCAGAACACAGAAAAACAUGACUGACUGCUUUAGUGUCUGCGACACCAGAGAGAAAACGAAAGCAACAGAAAACAUAAACAUCCUGUGAACAGGAAAUACGCAGACUCUGACUCACAAAGCCUGCUCCCUUUUAAGGUGGAACGGAAAUAUCCUAACAGCCCUUCCCCUAGAACUUCUGCCGGGUUUCUACCAGUCUUUCCUUUGUUUCCCAGGUAACUGCAGCACUGCCUGCACUGAACCCUCUAAAGAUGUGAAAGAAUUAGAUAAAGUAUUGCUGUCUCCAAAGAAUCACUUCCGUAAAAUAGGCUGACAUCCCUCCAGUCCCCGCAAGAAAAUUGCACAAUCCUUGCUCUCCAAGUAAAGUACUCUGAAACAAAGAUGAUCAGGAAUGCGGACGAGUACUUGGGCAGUACAGCUGCACAAGACAGCAAAAUCUAAAUGAAAAUUCUAGGCUGUGCUUGAUCCCUAAUAUGAAGAGUCAAAUAUGAUUGAAUAAUCUCACCUGCUCACCCACUCCCAUCUUGGUGGUCUCUGGUCCUUCCUUGGAAAAUAUGGAAAUGUCUGCUGCCACAGACGUUAUAAGAGGUAUGAUGAUGAAAUGCAUAUCUACAUGAGUUCAGAGCUACGUAAACUUGGAAGUCUCUCUCUAAAACAUCAGCAGACGUGGCACAUCCAUCUGAUAAGCAGGCAAAAGCAAAUGAAAGCUUAUUUAUUCAAUAAUCACUCCAACCCACUGCAGACCAUUCCUCUGGGUUCACUCUACAUUUGGAGGAUGGAAUGGGAUCAUGCUGCUGGUUGUGACACUGACAUCACUGUGUGCUUCUGGUCCAUCUGCUUCUCCUCCAGCCACAGUGCUGAAGGUCUGGAAAUGGGCACCUCCACGUGGAAUGGUGUGUGUGCUUAGGUGCUCCACGUGACUUCAGAUUUUGCUAGUGCAGGGUUCCUAAUCAUAUGGGGUACCUAGAUGUGUCCUGCUGUGUAGCUCUGCUGGCUCCACCUUCUGACAUCUUUCAAAGGAUAGAUGGGGAAAUAUCUUUGACUCGGGAUUUUUUCAAAUCAUCAGUAGGAAUCUGCACAAACUUGUACUUUCCCAGUCUUAUUUGAGAAGUGGGCUUUUUGGGAGGCCUCUUAUUUUGCUUUAUUUUUUCCAUUUAUUGUUAUUUUUGAAAUAAUAAUUGCAGCUGUAGGUAAGGAGCCACGUUUUAUGGUGUUUUUAUUUAGCUUUCCAGCAGUUUUAUUUGGCUGUUGCUUUCUCGUAUGCAGUCAUAUUUAUUUUUUCCUGAUUGCCUCUUAUGUAGACUGCUUAGAGGUGUCUUUUUAUAUUAAGCAGUGCCAUUUUUAAUCAAUAAACAAACGAGUAAAAAUAAUGAUAAGUAAUUCCCAGGGGUGUUCUUGAGGGAAUGCAUAGCUGACCACCAUAUUACCCCCACGCUGGGAAUGAUGCUACGUUGUUAUGUAGUGUGAUUCCGAGGUAGAUUCUGUCCCAGGAAAGAAGCCAAGCUCCAGUUUGAAGCAGCAGUGAGCCCUCUUUGUUUUUGUGAAAGAAAGUCAGACAGACAGACAGACAAACUCUUAUUCACCUUGAAAAUGUAAGAAGCACUCCAUCAUUGCUGAAUAUCCGCCUCCCCCCCUGCCCGAUUAAUGGUGAAAAUGUGUGGAGAGUGAUAAUCUAGAUUUAAUUUUUUUAAAAAAACUUCUCUGCAUAUUGUCUGGUGAGAACAGACUAAAUAAUGGAGUUUCACAGGUGGUGAGUGUUAUGUACUGAAGUUCUCACCCUGGGCCAGCAGGGGGAUACUGUAGAUAGUUCAAGUCCACAUAUGCAAAUAAGGGAUCGAAAGUGACGUUCAGUGAUUGGAUAGUUACAGAAAAUGGUUACUGUUGCGUUCUAGUGGAGCUCUAUAUAAGCAGGCUGGCUGAACAUUUCAGUUCAGUUCUGUUCUGGACUGUGAAUAAACAAGAGCUGUUUGAAGAAUCGCUGUGUUGUCUCAUAUGUUCACCCACAACUUAACAGUGAGAGACUCACCACAGGGAAUGGCUGAGACUGUGUCACGUGCAAUUGUCCCCCCUGAAUGAAGAGAGCAAGACAGGCACCUGAUGAGGCAGGUGGUGGAAGCCUUCCUUCUGAUAACCUAGGAGUUUAAUGGUUAAUACCAAUUCUAUGAAAUGAAUGGAGAGAAAAACGAGCUCCUAAAGGGCAGGGAUGAUCACAUUUCCACAUUGUUAUUAUUCUACAGUC